rnacentral:tRNA from 1 species
GCAGGGAUGGCAGAGCGGUCAAAUGCGCCGGCCUUGAGAGCCGGAGCCGAAAGGCUACGGGAGUUCGAAUCUCCCUCCCUGCG